rnacentral:rRNA from 1 species
UACGUAGGGUCCGAGCGUUAAUCGGAAUUACUGGGCGUAAAGCGCACGUAGGUGGCGACGUAAGUCGGGUGUGAAAGCCCCGGGCUCAACCUGGGAAUUGCAUUCGAGACUGCAUUGCUGGAGUACGGAAGAGGAAGGCGGAAUUCCCGGUGUAGCGGUGAAAUGCGUAGAUAUCGGGAGGAACAUCAGUGGCGAAGGCGGCCUUCUGGUCCAGUACUGACACUCAAGUGCGAAAGCGUGGGGAGCAAACAGG